AGUGAACGCUGGCGGUAGGCCUAACACAUGCAAGUCGAACGGCAGCACAGUAAGAGCUUGCUCUUACGGGUGGCGAGUGGCGGACGGGUGAGGAAUACAUCGGAAUCUACUUUUUCGUGGGGGAUAACGUAGGGAAACUUACGCUAAUACCGCAUACGACCUACGGGUGAAAGCAGUGGAUCUUCGGACCUUGCGCGAUUGAAUGAGCCGAUGUCGGAUUAGCUAGUUGGCGGGGUAAAGGCCCACCAAGGCGACGAUCCGUAGCUGGUCUGAGAGGAUGAUCAGCCACGCUGGAACUGAGACACGGUCCAGACUCCUACGGGAGGCAGCAGUGGGGAAUAUUGGACAAUGGGCGCAAGCCUGAUCCAGCCAUACCGCGUGGGUGAAGAAGGCCUUCGGGUUGUAAAGCCCUUUUGUUGGGAAAGAAAAGCAGCAGGUUAAUACCCCGCUGUUCUGACGGUACCCAAGGAAUAAGCACCGGCUAACUUCGUG
rnacentral:rRNA from 1 species